rnacentral:sRNA from 1 species
AAAAAAAAAACUGAAAUCGGAGAUGGAGAUGGUAAAUUGAUACCUUCAGUAAAGAAAAGAUUAACUGAUUUCUAAGAGCAAUCGAUUACUGUUGAUGGGAAGACUAUUUUUUUAUAGAUAUAAAUAGUCAUCGGAAGUUUGGAGGAGAAGAAGUGGAAGAGGUGGAGAUCGUGGAGAUCGUGGAGAUGAAGAAGAAAAGGGUUUUGAGAAAUAAAA